rnacentral:rRNA from 1 species
AGCGAACGCUGGCGGCAGGCUUAACACAUGCAAGUCGAGCGGGCACUUUCGGGUGUCAGCGGCGGACGGGUGAGUAACGCGUGGGAACGUGCCCUCUGGUUCGGAAGAACUCAGGGAAACUUGAGCUAAUACCGGAUACGCCCUUUUGGCGAAAGGCUUGCUGCCGGAGGAUCGGCCAGCGUCUGAUUAGCUAGUUGGUGAGGUAACGGCGCACCAAGGCUACGAUCAGUAGAUGGUGUGAGAGGAUGAUCAGCCACACUGGGACUGAGACACGGCCCAGACUCCUACGGGAGGCAGGAGUGGCGAAUCUUGGCCAGUGGGCGGAAGCCUGAUCCAGCCAUGCCGCGUGAGUGAUGAAGGCCUUAGGGUUGUAAAGCUCUUUUAUCAGGGACGAUAAUGACGGUACCGGAGGAAUAAGCCCCGGCUAACUUCGUG